UCUCAUCAGAUGGCAGUGUGCAUUUGGAUGGUGCUUUAGCAGACUUUACGCUGGCAGUAUUUUCACUGCUGCAUUCCACAGCAGAAUGCGAGGGAGUAUUCAGUGUUUAAGAUGCUCGAGCCAGUUUGUGGGGAAUGGAUCAGUAGAGUUGUAACCAGCAGAGAGCAAGGGGCAGUCCUCAUUUGGCCACUGACCUGAGAAUAUGACAAGAGGAUCCAGCCUGCUGUGCCCUCGCCUGUGUACCAACAGAAGACAAUGCUCUCUGAGCCUUGGAUCAGGAUGUUGCCUGACAUCCUCGCAACAAUAACAGAUGUCCACACCAUCACAUUGAGUAUGGCGACACAAAAGCUACUGUUGAAAUGGAGGCAUGCAGUCAACAGCUGGAGGCUGCCACAUGAGGGAAACUCCAUCACAUUCACUCUCCAACCAGUAAUGAUUGUAAACAAGCCUAAAUAAAG